AGUGAACGCUGGCGGCAGGCCUAAUACAUGCAAGUCGAACAGCAGCACAGUGGAGCUUGCUCCAUGGGUGGCGAGUGGCGGACGGGUGAGGAAUACAUGGGAAUCUGCCCAGUCGUGGGGGAUAACGUAGGGAAACUUACGCUAAUACCGCAUGCGCCCUUCGGGGGAAAGCCGGGGACCUUCGGGCCUGGCGCGAUUGGAUGAGCCCAUGUUCGAUUAGCUAGUUGGCGGGGUAAAGGCCCACCAAGGCGACGAUCGAUAGCUGGUCUGAGAGGAUGAUCAGCCACACUGGGACUGAGACACGGCCCAGACUCCUACGGGAGGUAGCAGUAGGGAAUAUUGGACAAUGGGCGCAAGCCUGAUCCAGCCAUGCCGCGUGAGUGAAGAAGGCCCUCGGGUUGUAAAGCUCUUUUGUCCGGGAAGAAAAGCAUCGGGCUAAUACCUCGGUGUUCUGACGGUACCGGAAGAAUAAGCACCGGCUAACUUCGUG
rnacentral:rRNA from 1 species